UCAUCAUUGAUUCAUUAUUCAUUACCAAAGUUGGAAGUGGAGUGAGUUUCCAUGGAGAUUAUGAGGGAUUAUUCAGGAGGACAUCAAGUAUUCCUUGGACUCAUCAAGAACAAGAUCUUCUGGCUUCCAGAACUGAAAUGAUGGAAUGUUGAGAAAAAAUUGAAAGUUAGAAAGCUAGAUGUGACUAGUUUUGCCAUCAUCUUGACGGUCUGGGUCAGAGGAAAAAUCAAGAAUGAAAAGCAUCUUUCUGCAUGACAGUUGGCUUUAAAUCUGACAGCUUCCCUCUUUCAGUUUCAGAUGCCUGAUUUCCUACUCAAAAUGAGGUCGUGGACAGCCUAGACCUACGAUGGGGUCUGAGGAUCUUCUCCUGGAAGUCCCAUGAACUACAUAGUGGCGCUACAAUUCACCCCCAGAAGGCAUGCAGAGAGGGCAUCUAGGAGAGACCCACUGCAACACUUGAAUGCACCAUCAAGUGAGCAAUUGGGAGGGUACUAUUUAUCCCUGACUCUUGCUGAAAUGUGAACCAAUAAAUAGGCUGUCAUCUAUCUGGUGGCA
rnacentral:lncRNA from 1 species